GGCGGCCGCGGGAUUCGAUUAGAGUUUGAUCAUGGCUCAGGAGCGCUCAGAGAUGGGUGUGCCUCUUUUGGGGUCGGUUCACAGGUGGUGCAUGGCUGUCGUCAGCUCGUGUCGUGAGAUGUUGGGUUAAGUCCCGCAACGAGCGCAACCCUUGUUCACUGUUGCCAGCACGUUAUGGUGGGGACUCAGUGGAGACCGCCGGGGUCAACUCGGAGGAAGGUGGGGAUGACGUCAAGUCAUCAUGCCCCUUAUGUCCAGGGCUUCACGCAUGCUACAAUGGCUGGUACAGAGAGUGGCGAGCCUGUGAGGGUGAGCGAAUCUCGGAAAGCCGGUCUCAGUUCGGAUUGGGGUCUGCAACUCGACCUCAUGAAGUCGGAGUCGCUAGUAAUCGCAUAUCAGCAACGCUGCGGUGAAUACGUUCCCGGGGCUUGUACACACCGCCCGUCAAGUCAUGAAAGUUGGCAACACCCGAAGCCGGUGGCCUAACCGUUGUGGGGGAGCCGUC
rnacentral:rRNA from 1 species